rnacentral:rRNA from 1 species
AUGAACGCUAGCGACAGGCCUAACACAUGCAAGUCGAGGGCAGCACAAGGAGCAAUCUGAGGUGGCGACCGGCGCACGGGUGAGUAACACGUAUGCAACCUGCCUGUAAGCGGGGAAUAACCCGUUGAAAGACGGACUAAUACCGCAUAAUACUAAAUUACUGCAUGGUAAUUUAUUUAAACAUUUAUGGCUUACAGAUGGGCAUGCGCAUGAUUAGCUAGUUGGAGAGGUAACGGCUCCCCAAGGCAACGAUCAUUAGGGGUUCUGAGAGGAAGGUCCCCCACACUGGUACUGAGACACGGACCAGACUCCUACGGGAGGCAGCAGUGAGGAAUAUUGGUCAAUGGACGAGAGUCUGAACCAGCCAAGUCGCGUGCAGGAAGAAUGUCCUAUGGAUUGUAAACUGCUUUUGCAGGGGAAUAAAGUGCAUCACGUGUGAUGUUUUGUAUGUACUCUGCGAAUAAGGAUCGGCUAACUCCGUGCCAGCAGCAGC